UUGAAGCCUCUAACAAUGUUACACCCAUCUGGCUGUCUAUACUGGCCUUCUCUCAGUUCUUCAAAUGUGCCACACCCUUUCCCAUUUCACGGCCUUUGCACAUGUGGCUUGUUCUGCCCAGAACACUCUUUCAUGUCCCCAAAUUUCUUUAGCACCGCGCCCUGCCCCUCGCCUCCAUCUAACUAGUUCUUCAUUCUCUAGAUCUCUUUGUGCACCUCACUCAGGGAAGCUGUAGUCGACCCUUAGCUUAAGUUAUAUCCUUUUAAACAUGCUGCCCUGACCCUUGUAAAGCCUGUGACACUUGAAAUUAGUUAUCAAGUCUUCAUUAAUGUUGGAUUAUAACCUCUAGUAGGGCGGGUUCCAAUUCUGUCCCAGUCAUUGCUAGAUCCCCAGCACUGUUUUCUCAUUUGAUCCAUGUUAAACAUUUGAUAAACAUUUUUUUCCAUGAAUAAAUAAACAGAAGGAAAAAGAAACCCCAUACAGUCAGCUAGAAUGAUCAUUUAAGGAUUUACAGUGGAGGCAGACUUGUGAAAGAGGCUUUGAAAAAAUGGACACAAUAGUGAGAGUAAUUGGUGCUGAGGCUUGGAGACAAGAGAGAGCCGGAGGGUGCUCAGGGAAGAGGGUGCUCAGGCAAGAGUGGACCGUUCAUGGUGGCUGAACAGUAUGGACCAUACAGGAGAGUAGGAAAAGAUCAGAUUGAAAAGGAAGGUCAACAUAACAGGGUGACAGAAGGCCUGUCUUAAACACAAAUACUUAAUUUUUUUUUUAUUUUUUAUUUUUUUGUCUUUUUAGGGCAUAUGGAAGUUCCCAGGCUAGGGGUCGAGUUGGAGCUGCAGCUGCAGGCUUAUGCUACAGCCACAGCCAUGCAGGAUCUGAACCACAGCUGUGACCUGCACCACAGCUCAUGGCAACCCUGGAUCCUUAACCCACUGAGCAAGGCCAGGGAUUGGACCUGAGUCCUCAUGGAUACUAGUCAGAUUUGUUACCGUUGAGCCACGAUGGGAACUCCUUAAUUUUGUCUUUGAUGAUGAGACAAUGACGACUCAGGUACACAGGCUAAAUGAAAGGGGGAAGAGAAUGCAUGAAGGAAACUUCUUCAGGAACUCAGUGAGAGUCCAGGCAAGAAAUAACAAACCAGACAGCGGAUUGCAGAACACAGGUGGGAAAAGAAAGAGCAGUGAUAAAAAGAAUUACAUGUAUAAGGUAGAUUCUGAGGAGAAGGACUAAAAUGUUGAACUAAAACUUUUGGGGAGAGACAAGGAAAAGAGGUAAGCCAGUGUGCGUCCUGGGUUUCUGUAAGAGUAACUGAAAAAACAGUGAAGCCAGGAAAGUUAGGACAAUCUGGUUUGGGGGACGGUGAGGGAAGGAAAUGAUGAGUUUAUUUUUUAACAUUAUUGAGCUAGUUGUUUUUUGUUUUUUUUUUUUUAAACUCACCUAGAAUAAGUAGGUGAGUGAACACUGUAGAUUAGUGCCUGAGGAUUAAUGAAGACCUUCUGUUCUUAUGAGAUUUUAUGAUUACAGUUCUGGUAAUUUCCUUAGUCUGUUUUGUUUUGUUUUGUUUUUAACAUGGUUUUGUACCAGGGGGUGCUUAAAGCCAUAGGAUAGACAUAGUGUGUUGCCUUGGACAAAUAACGGUGCAGAAAAUUUGAGGCAAUAAUCACCAACCCACUUCAUCCCUUUCCCUGACUUAAACAUAUUUUUAUGUUAAGACAAACAGAAAUGUGUUAGAAGAGAAGGCAAAAUUCACAUGGAUUUUUUAAAUGACACUCUAAAAUUCAAAGAAAUGUUAUGCUUGGCCAACUGCUUUAGGGUCUAUUUUCCUUGCCCCGAUCCCCUCACCCCUCAUUUAGAGUUUAAGUAAGUUGUUUAAAUAGCUUGUCCACAUCCAUUAUAGCUAGUAAGUGGUAUGGCAAGAAUUUUAAACUAGAUCUCUUUCAAGCCUGCACUGUUAAAACUACUUCACUAUAUACUAUUUAUUAAUUAAAUGGUAUUUGAGUUUUAGUUAAUAUUAUAUUUAGCAUCACUCACCAAGCAAAUGACAACAUAAUGCCAAAUACUGGAAGUUGGUAUUUUUCCACAAGGAAUUUGCAGGGUCUCCAAGAAUGCAAUCAGAGCAAGUGAUUUUUCACAGUGCUUGGGAGAGAGUGCAGAUGGGCUCAUCAAAAGGAUUAGUGUGCUCUUUCCUAGCCUGCUGACCAUUAAUUAUAUGGGUAUGCUAAACAUUCUUUUAAGGCUCAAACUAUCUUUCAAACUUUUAAAAUGUAAAGCUGACAUCGUUUUCCCGUUCAGAACCUUCCAAGCCUAGUUUAGAAAGUCUUUCCUAAUCUGGUUCCAAACUAUCCUUCAACAAUGAAUCCCCACACAAUCAGCCUCAAAUACACUAGACUUUCCAACAAAUUAAGACAAUUGAAAAUCUUCCUGGAAAAGUAACUUAAGAUUAAGACUUCAAGAGUUAGUAAGAGUUGGAUAGCUGAAACAUGAGAGCAACCUAAAUGUCCACUGACAGAUGAAUGGAGAAAGAAGAUGUAGUAGGUAUGUACAUAUGUAUAUAUCUCUAUGUAUAUCUAUAGAUACAUAAGAAUGGAAUAUUACUCAGCCAUAAAAAAGAAUGAAAUAGGAGUUCCCGUUGUGGCACAGUGGUUAACGAAUCCGACUAGGAACCAUGAGGUUGCGGGUUCAGUCCCUGCCCUUGCUCAGUGGGUUAACGAUCUGGCAUUGCCAUGAGCUGUGGUGUAGGUUGCAGACGCGGCUUGGAUCCUGCGUUGCUGUGGCUCUGGCGUAGGCCGGUGGCUGCAGCUCCGAUU
rnacentral:lncRNA from 1 species